GCUGGAGGUAUCAGAAGUGCGAAUGCUGACAUAAGUAACGAUAAAGCGGGUGAAAAGCCCGCUCGCCGGAAGACCAAGGGUUCCUGUCCAACGUUAAUCGGGGCAGGGUGAGUCGACCCCUAAGGCGAGGCCGAAAGGCGUAGUCGAUGGGAAACAGGUUAAUAUUCCUGUACUUGGUGUUACUGCGAAGGGGGGACGGAGAAGGCUAUGUUGGCCGGGCGACGGUUGUCCCGGUUUAAGCGUGUAGGCUGGUUUUCCAGGCAAAUCCGGAAAAUCAAGGCUGAGGCGUGAUGACGAGGCACUACGGUGCUGAAGCAACAAAUGCCCUGCUUCCAGGAAAAGCCUCUAAGCAUCAGGUAACAUCAAAUCGUACCCCAAACCGACACAGGUGGUCAGGUAGAGAAUACCAAGGCGCUUGAGAGAACUCGGGUGAAGGAACUAGGCAAAAUGGUGCCGUAACUUCGGGAGAAGGCACGCUGAUAUGUAGGUGAAGUCCCUCGCGGAUGGAGCUGAAAUCAGUCGAAGAUACCAGCUGGCUGCAACUGUUUAUUAAAAACACAGCACUGUGCAAACACGAAAGUGGACGUAUACGGUGUGACGCCUGCCCGGUGCCGGAAGGUUAAUUGAUGGGGUCAGCGCAAGCGAAGCUCUUGAUCGAAGCCCCGGUAAACGGCGGCCGUAACUAUAACGGUCCUAAGGUAGCGAAAUUCCUUGUCGGGUAAGUUCCGACCUGCACGAAUGGCGUAAUGAUGGCCAGGCUGUCUCCACCCGAGACUCAGUGAAAUUGAACUCGCUGUGAAGAUGCAGUGUACCCGCGGCAAGACGGAAAGACCCCGUGAACCUUUACUAUAGCUUGACACUGAACAUUGAGCCUUGAUGUGUAGGAUAGGUGGGAGGCUUAGAAGUGUGGACGCCAGUCUGCAUGGAGCCGACCUUGAAAUACCACCCUUUAAUGUUUGAUGUUCUAACGUUGACCCGUGAUCCGGGUUGCGGACAGUGUCUGGUGGGUAGUUUGACUGGGGCGGUCUCCUCCUAAAGAGUAACGGAGGAGCACGAAGGUUGGCUAAUCCUGGUCGGACAUCAGGAGGUUAGUGCAAUGGCAUAAGCCAGCUUGACUGCGAGCGUGACGGCGCGAGCAGGUGCGAAAGCAGGUCAUAGUGAUCCGGUGGUUCUGAAUGGAAGGGCCAUCGCUCAACGGAUAAAAGGUACUCCGGGGAUAACAGGCUGAUACCGCCCAAGAGUUCAUAUCGACGGCGGUGUUUGGCACCUCGAUGUCGGCUCAUCACAUCCUGGGGCUGAAGUAGGUCCCAAGGGUAUGGCUGUUCGCCAUUUAAAGUGGUACGCGAGCUGGGUUUAGAACGUCGUGAGACAGUUCGGUCCCUAUCUGCCGUGGGCGCUGGAGAACUGAGGGGGGCUGCUCCUAGUACGAGAGGACCGGAGUGGACGCAUCACUGGUGUUCGGGUUGUCAUGCCAAUGGCACUGCCCGGUAGCUAAAUGCGGAAGAGAUAAGUGCUGAAAGCAUCUAAGCACGAAACUUGCCCCGAGAUGAGUUCUCCCUGACUCCUUGAGAGUCCUGAAGGAACGUUGAAGACGACGACGUUGAUAGGCCGGGUGUGUAAGCGCAGCGAUGCGUUGAGCUAACCGGUACUAAUGAACCGUGAGGCUUAACCUU
rnacentral:rRNA from 1 species